GUUUGAUUGUGCUGAGUUCUUGCUCGCGCUCGGCGUCUUUCCGCGCAUCUCUCGUUUCGGCGCCCGCGUGCGCGUGUGUGUCAGAGAUAGAAGUCUCGCGGUGGAGGGUGAGUUUCCCCUCCAGCAGCUGCGUGUUUCGUUCAGCGUCCUGCUUUAGCCGACGGUUUGGGAAAGUCGUAUGAAAGCAACCCCUCAACGGCUGAAGAGGACCGUUGGGGCGUGGUUGGCUCUCCUCGCGUGUUGUGGGCUAGCUCCCUCCCCGGCCGAUAGGAAGCGGGCCUGUCGAGAGGCAAACGAGGGGAUGCAAAAAAAUAAAUAAGCAACCCGCCACCAACAGCCCCCUCACCGAAGGGUAAAACUGCCCUUCCUGACCCCUCAGCUGCUGCAGUGAACGAGCAAGGAAAAGGGGCUCCUCCGCUUGAGACCUCUCGCCCGCUCUCCCUUCUUCCUGCCACAUUGCUGUAGCAAAUAUUUGCUGAGCCCCUCUGGCAUGUGCAACAGUAAUUUUUAACUGGCACUUGAGUUAAUUCAAGUGCUUUGUACUAUGUCUCUUGUACUGAAUCUCUUAAGACAACUGCUGGAAUAUUAUGGCGUGCCACCAGAACUGCUUAUACAGAGGUGUGAAGUUUGUCUUAAUGCCUUUGUUCAUAUGAUUGCAUCCCAUCUUCCUUCAAACACCUCUUCAGGAGCACACUUCCAACAGUUAUGUGCCAUCUCAAGAAGCUAUGCAGUGUCCUGGGCAUGGGAAAGAAAAAAGUAUGGAUCUACCCGAAGUUUCGUUCGCAGACUGGGGAAGCAUAUUCCGUUAACUCCUUGUCCAAGGCCUCAGUUUCAGGUAAUCCAGAGUUUGAAUUCUUUGACACCUGAGCAAAGUAUUUCUAGUAGCUCUGUUACACCAUCUCUUGCUGAUGUCUUGUGGAUGGCAGAAAAUGAAAGAGAACCAUAUGCUAGAUUUAGAUUUGAUGAAUGGAGAGGAGUUGUGCCGGUUGCUACAAAAGGAAGUAUGCAAAAAUUAACUGUUGUGAAUGAAGAUGCGUUCAAAAAAAUUUCUGCUCUUGAGAAUGAAUUGGCUAAUCUUCGUGCACAGAUUGCAGCAAUUGUGGCAGUGCCUAGAUCAGGAGAUGAUCAACCAUGUUCAGGCAUUGUGAAUUCCUCAAACAAUGCCUUUAAUGCUCUCCCACAGCCAGGAGUGACUUCUACACCAGUCCCAAGUUCUCACAUUGCUGUUCCUCCACUGCCACCAGCACCACCAUGUCCAGCUGUACCUCUAUCUAAUUUUGAUUCCUGUAAUUCAACCAUUGAGCUUAUUAAACAACGUCGGGCUUCAAGUAAGAUAAGAAAUACUACAGAGAGUACAGGUUGGCAGAAGGAAGAAGCUCUUCCCACUAUGAUGGAUGUUCUGAAGGAUAUAAAUAAGAUCAAACUAAGAGCAGUUGAGAGAUCACCAGGAGGUACACCUCUACCCAAAACAAAAAAAAGAAUUGCAUCACAGUGGGAUCCAGCAGCUUUAAUAGCAGAAGCUCUUAAAGAGAAAUUUGCGUCGCAGAAUAAUGAUGAUUCCUUUGAUAAAGAGAACAGAUCCUAUAGUGCUUCUCCAUUUUCCAGUCCAGAUACCCCAAUGGUUGGCUGUCGGGUUUUGAAGCCAAGUAUGAAGCAGACGCUUAUUAGAACUAAUGAGCUGAUGUAGGUAUCAGCUGCAAAACCAGCAAUUCAUCUUUAGCCAUGAUGUAGAGCUUCUUGAGAAAAGCUCUGCCAUUGGUUUCAUAGACCUUGAUACUGUGCUAUAAAGCAGCAGCUUAUAGAGCUAGCUGUUUUUCAUUAAUCUACUUCAGCAGCCAAGCAUCUGGAAUUUGUUUGUGUAAAAUAUUUUAUCAGCAGGAGUAUGUUUUACUGGUUUUUAUAACAACUUUAUAGUCUGGGCUGCAGAAUUUAAAGCAGACACAUAAACAUGUCAAAAAAGAAGAAGAGAAUAGUACCACAGAAACAAAAUAUAAAUUAAUUUGGUUACAUGUAGAUGAUAAUAUAUUUACGAAACGGUAUCCUGUUCAUUUGUUUUCCUAUAAUGGGAUUAGCUAUUGUGUGAAGAGUUGACGCUUGCUGUGGCUUUUGGCCUCUCCUGCACAUUCACCCCUGCACAUUCCCAUUCUCGGCAGCCUCACACCAACACAUUGAGGAUAUCUCUGCAGAGGGAGCAUCUCUCCCACCUAACACAUGUAACCUUUCCCCAUCAACUUGGGAUCCUUAUCAUGGACGGAGCUUGCUUGUGCUUGAUGGGCUUUCUCUUUGCAAUCUUGCCCCCAGUGCAUUUACAACGCGGGAGAGGUUGGGGUUGAAGACACAGAGACAGGACCAGUGGACAGAGCCCCACUUCCUCUUACAUGACUGCUAAUUGAAUAAUGGCAACAUCACUGAAUAGGGCUAAUAUGUUGAUAGUAAGGAAUAGCUUCCUCAAAAAUAUCCCUUUCUCAAUUUGAUUCACUGGUGCAGCCUUAUAAGAUCUCAAUAAUUGGCACCAGUGGUGUUUGCUUGGUUUUGAGUAAGAGACCAUUAACAUCCUUGAAUACUGUAAAAGUUUGUAAAGAAAACACAUGAACUGUGUGCAUAUUUGAAAUGCAUGAUUCAAAUAAAUAUUGCUGUUGACUAUUUGCACCCCAGUAAAUUUUGCUUACAAAAGAAAUCGUUUAUGUCUAAACUGUAUGAUCAUUCUCCAUGACUGUAAUAUUUCAGAUUUCGUAGUCUUGUGUAUGAAGAUUUGUGGAGGAAUAUAAGCUAUAUGAUAUGUCAUUCCCCUUGUAACUUACAAUAUGCUAUACAGGGUAGAAGUGCUAUCUAAAAAAAGUUUGCAUCUCUUCUACCACAACCAUUUAAACUCUGGAUGCCCCGUCAUACAUGCAACCUAGAUAUUGCACAGCACAGAGGGUUUGUGGAUUGUACCCAUAAUGUGUCUUUAUCAGGUUCUCCUCAUGUAUUCAAACCUUCUGGUGUACCCUUGCAGACUUUUGAGUGUUGCUUUUUAUUUAUUGUAUUUUUAUAUAUUUUUUAAUUUACUUAUUUAUAUUUUUAUUUACUUAUUUAUAUUUUUGUUUAGUAUCCCAGUUAUAGUGCAUUGCUCCUUAUAAUUCUUGCAUAUGGUUUUUUGUGUGGAUGGCAAGCAGAGGAAAUUUGUCUCAAUAUAUUGGUUUCCUUCCCUGAGAUAAAAGUGCUUCCUUCUGAUGAUUUGUUGCUUAAUAUUUUGUUUUCUGUUCCAUCAUUGCAUGGUUCUUACUCAAGGAAGAGAUAACUUUUAGUUCUAUAUUGAUAUUUGCAUAGACAAAGACAUUACUUGCCUCAGGCUGUAUCAUAAAUAAUGUGACGGCAGUAAAUGUAUGUAAUUUGAAUGUUGGCUAUGUGUGUCUGUUUAGUUAUUGAGUGAUGUGCCCCUCUAGAGCCAACAGUACAUUGAUGCCUGUCUUAGUAUGUCACCUCUUAAUUGCAAAGACUUAGCAGUGUGUCAUAUAUAGCCCCCCCCCCAUGUUUGCCAUAAUUUUCAGUUGCUUGUAACUUUUCCAAACAGACUUCAUUUUGUAUUUGAAAGUUCAGUUGUAGUUGUAUUUUGAACAACAUAGGUGAGAGUGAGGUUGGUUUUCAUAGAAUCGUAGAAUUGGAAAGGACCCUGAGGACUAUCAAGUCCAGGGUUUCCCAAACUUGGGUUUCCAGCAGUUUUUGGACUACAAUUCCCAUCAUCCUUGACCACUGGUACUGUUAGCUAGGGAUGAAGGGAGUUGCAGUCCAAAAACUGAUAGAGACCCAAGUUUGGGAAACCAUGAUCUAGUUCAACCUCCUGCAGUGCAGGAAUAUGCAGCUGUCCCAUAUGAGGAUUGAAUCCUGAGACAUUGAUGUUAUCUGCAACAUGCUCUACCCAACUGAGCUAUCCAGUGCCUUGUGCUUUUUGACUUUCCAUUUUAAUUGAAAACAUUUGAACAUUUUGUGAGAGGUGAACCAUAGUCCAAUCCCCUGGACUAGGAAUGGGCUAGCCUAAAUACAUUUUGUUUCACUGUCACUGAUCCUCAAUCAUAGGUUCAUUCCACCCCUGUUUCUUGCAGACUUAAAAAUCAGGAUGAUGUUGAUGCAUUUUGCAUGCACUCCCCCACAAAACACACAGAUUUCAAUGCUUUUGAAUGCAUUUCCUCUUUUAAUAUGACUUUGUUUACAUAAAAUACAUAUCUUGUGGAGAGGUUUUUGGACCAAAACUGUAUUGCAAAAUCCAGAGGAAUGUAUGAUUGCAUUCUGACCCAAAAGGAAGAUCGGAAAAAUAUGGAACAAAUUCCUCCAUCCUUAUUGUGAAAAACGGUAUCUCAGUCGCAUCCUUUACCGUAGAUAUUAAUGGCCAACCCAUGUACUUUAAAUGUGAUUAAAUGGUGAUUUUAACCACCAGAGGGCAAUCUGAUACUAUAGCUUUGCAAAAAAUAGUUUUGCUUUCAUAUUGCCUGUCUUCCAUAGACAACACCUUUUCUUUCCGGAGGUACAGUUUAACAACCAAAUACAUUGGUUUUGUUUUUAGUCUGUUGAUAUUUAUGCUGUAAAGUUUCUAGGUCUUCGUAGAUACUAAAAGAACUUGAGAGUAGAAGGCUAGUUUCUCAAAAGCUGCAGUUCCCUGGUCAUAAACAGGAUUCCUGCAUAUCCAGAGGUAAAUUCCCCCCUCUGUGGGCUCCUUACCACAUAUUUCUCUACUGUGUGCUAUGCCACUUGCUCUGUCAGCCAGUACCCCCACUCUGAUUUGUAUGGCAUCCCCAUUCUGUUGGUGUCUUUAGAAGAUUACAGUUGCACUAGCACUUGGAACUAGACCAGCUAGCUGACCAGCUAUUUCUUACUGUAUUAUUAUCUGGACUGUAGUGACUGUGUGCGGUAUUUAUUGUGUGAGUUCUUUGCUCAUUGUGCUUGCUGCUGUCUUCCCCUUCUCCAUGUAGCCUGUUAAUAUUUAUCAGUGGAGUGAAGCCUCUACAAGUGCUCAAUCCUCAUGAUGCAUGGUGGUUCUGUGUCUUCUGGUGCUUGUGCUUCUCCUGAUACUGUAUGGGAGCUCUAACUCUUGGCAGUUGUGUUUUGCAGUUAUCUCUUACGUUUAAUAAGGGCUUCUCUCCAAAACAAAAAAUCAAUGCAUUGCAUGGCAUAGAGUUAGCAUGCAGCCUUAGUAAUCACCUCUGUAGCCUGGAUUUCUUAAAUCUCCUGGAUCCUGAGAUGCAAAUGCAAAUGGGACUUGAGCUUCCUUUAUCUGGAGCAUAUUCUAAGACUUGUGUGUAUAUAUAUAUAUAGCUAGCAGAAGUGCCACCUGGUGAUACACUGCUAAUCAUAAGAAUCUUGGUGCACUAACAUACCUCCCAUAAUCCAGUAAUCUGCUCUCAAGUUAUUUUUAGUAUCUUAAAUAAUACAUUUUAUCUGAUAAAACUUACAACUUUUUUGCUUCAUCUAAGGAGUUUUACACCUUUUAAAAUACUGAUGUUUUUUCCUACUGCAUUUCACCAUGCAGUAAGCAUUAUUUCAAGUUAAAUAAGUAGAAGGGGGAAACUCAGCUAUAGAAAAUAUGCAAAUAGAGACAGCACUUUGGUUGCAGUUUAUUAUUUUUAAUUUGCUUAUCUUUGAUUUGAUAAAUGAGCAAUGGCUUAUAUUUCACACCAGGGUUAAUACAGGUUGAAUAAAUUCUCUGUACUUGGUGUUGACUAACUUUUAUAUUUAUGGAUAUUUGAUAAAACACACUGCACAUAACUCUGAAACUUGGAAAAUUAUGGAGUACAGGAUGUCCUCAACUGCUGGAAAAGCCCGAAAAUGGGAUCAAAAUUUCUAAUGCAGAUUGGCAUAGGCAGCCUAAGUAACAAAUGGCAUGGAAUUGAACAUUGGGCUAUAGGAGUCAUGUUACCCUUUCCCACCCUUAUCAGUUUUUGAUUUGGUAAUGGAUCAUUUCUACUAGCAGUCAGAAAUACAUGGUUUGUUUCCUUGACUCACAGAUAUAAAAGUUAUUAGGAUACUUCUGUGACCAAGAAGGGCUUCAAGAGAUCCUGAUGGAGGAGGGGGGGGAAAUCCUGAUUAAAGAAAAGUGAGAAAAUCUAAAAGUUGAAGUGCAUUCUGAGAACUUCUUACUAAUUGUAUGAUGUGCUCUAAGAGGGCCAAACCCCACAGAUUGCUGUGAUAAGUAUUACCCUCUCCUGAACCAAUUCUGGACUGUAGGGGCAUUUUCAGAAAUAGUCUGGAAUGUUCAGUGGGCUUGUAGAAUUCAGCCUGUACUUACCAUAAACAGCAUCUGAAAGUGGCAGAAAUUCUUGUGAAGAUGCAAGCACGAAGCAAAUGCUUGACUAAAUUGGCUAAAAUGUGAGAUAUGCACAUAUGCAAACAUCAUCCUUCUGUAUUUUUUUUAUUAACAGUUAUCUUUUGACAUGAAUACUUACAGCAGUAUGUUAAAGAUACAGUUCAGUUCUUCGCAUCACUGCAUAGCAGUCACAAUUUCACACAAGGCCUUGUUCAGACCUAACACUAAACCACAGUUUGUCUGUUUAACUUAACUGUAGUUUGUACAUCCAAACCCUCCCCAGCCAGCUAACUAUGACUUAUAUACAACCUGGAAACUAGAAUAUGAAACCAUGGUUUGAAGCUGGCUCAUGAUUCUCUGCUUGCUUUAACUGUGUUUGUCAUUAUCCUGGGUUAAUCCUUUUUUUACCCCAGCCACCCACAUGGGGUAAGAGUUGUUAGAAAUGCUCAUGCAGCCAAGUGACUCUCACUGGCAGUUUUCCAGCUCUUUCCUCCCUCCCUCCUCUGCCUAGUAUUAGGGUUCCUCCCACCACCCAACCUAGUUCCACUUUGCAAUGAGAAAAUUUAUGCCAUUUUUUUUACUAGCAUGUAUCCCAGCGCACAUGUUGAAAGCAUUCCUUUGUUCUUAGCAUCUUACCCCAAUUUUAAAGACAAAUGCAGCUUCACAAAAAUCCUAUCUAUAGCAAGUACAUGAAGCUGACCUUUGUUCUUCCCCAUUUAUGUGCUUUUGGCAGUUCUGCUUCUGGGAAACACUCAUGACCCUUCAGUACUUAGCUCUCUGAAGUCCCCCUUUGGUCAGUAUCAUGCUAUCACCAUGGACUCAGGCAGUCCAAGGAUGAUUGCUCACUCAGAGUAAUCAUACCAGUACCAGGUUUUGAAGAUUGUAAACAACAUGUGAUAGCAAUUAUUGGGGAGUGGUUUUUUUUUUAAAAAAAAAUUAUGUAAACACUCUGUGUUACUUUGUAUUCCCUUGGAAAAAUGAUGUUUAUGUGUGUCAGCUGCAUUAGCAAUAUCUCAGCUCUGCUGUUGCAGAAUAGUAGUAGCUGGUGUUACAGAAGCAAAGGACAAGAAAGAGAGGGAUUUUUGUUGAUGCAUGAAGAAAAGUCCAAAAGGGAACUCUAGAAUAUGAACUGCAAUGAGGCGAUACUUAGCCAGCUGUCCAAAGAAAUAUCCUUGAAAGGGUUCAGUUGUUGCAUCCAUCAGUGCUGUGCAAAGAUGAACACUAUUAAAAGCUUUUUUAAAAAUCUCACCACUCACAAUAAGGACUCUGGGGUAGAACCAUGCACCAUGCUGUUCUACAAUAAACUAGCCUUACUCCUAGAUACAGAUGCCACCCUUGGCUACUGUGGGCAGUCAGCAGCAUUGGUGGCCAAGACAGGCCGCUCCAUUGCUGGCUAGGCAGAUCUUCUCUCCUGCUCCUGGAAUUUCUGGACAUGCAUCUUUGCUGGCAAAGCUUCAGUGAGUGCCAUUAUCAUGGUAAAGGUAAAGGGACCCCUGACCGUUGGGUACAGUUGCGGACGACUCUGGGGUUGCGGCACUCAUCUUGCUUUACUGGCCGAGGGAGCCGGCGUACAGCUUCCGGGUCAUGUGGCCAGCAUGACUAAGCCGCUUCUGGCGAAUGAGAGCAGUGCACGGAAACACCAUUUACCUUCCUGCCAGGGCGGUACCUAUUUAUCUACUUGCACUUUGACAUGCUUUUGAACUGCUAGGUUGGCAGGAGCUGGGACCGAGCAACGGGAACUCACCCCGUCGUGGGGAUUCAAACCACCGACCUUCUGAUCAGCAAGCUCUAGGCUCAGUGGUUUAGACCACAGCACCACCUGCAUCCCAUUAUCAUGGUAGCCAUGUACAAGCAUCAAGAGGACAAAGAGGCUGAUGGGGACUAUACCAGAAACAACUGCUAUAUCAGCCUGAAUGUGCUGUCAGAUGCCUCAGAGGAACUGUGCAAUGGGGCCAAGAGGGCUGAUGAAUUGCCUGUGUAUUUCCUACAAUCGUUUGAGGACUGGUUCACCACCUUCCUUAGGUUCCAAGAUAGGAAAGGAAGAAGAGCAACCACCAUCCAGGGCUCUAACUACAGACUUGGGGAGAACAUCAACACACUCUAGAAUUAUUUGUUUCUUCCAGGUAAAUGUGCUUAGGAAUUGCAGCCUUUAUUUAAAGUGUGUUUCACUGAAAUCAGUGAGACUUCUUACAAGUAUAUGAAUAUAGUUUUGGAAUAUUUGAGUAAAUUGCAGCUAGGGUUUUGAAGUGCACUGGUAUCACAGUGUGGCCCACUUGCCACCUAUAUUGAAAAAGAAAGGAAUCUGAUAAGAAUUGUAGAAAAAUGUCAAAGUGGAGUUAAAUAUUGAAAAAUUCUGUAAUUUAUCCUUUUCAGCAAUCUAUUCAUCCCUCCCUUAUGGUUGACUUCAAUCUUCAGAAAGACACAGAGAUACUAUGGUAGGUAAUUAAGGUUAAAAUAAUGAUCUUCAAUGGAAUCCUAAAUAGUUUUUUCUUAUCCUGAUAUGUGGAAGAAAAUCUUGAACAGUCUUUGCUAUGGUUUUGACAAGUUAAUGCUGAUAUUACUAUUUAUAUAAAGCUCCUUUCUUCACAGGGUGAAAGAGUCCAGUUCAUUUGAUAUUUUCACACUAAUCUAAAGAGAUCACAUUAGUAUUUUAUUUUUUCAACCUAAGCUUUCCUUUCUGCCUUGGGACUUACUAAGGUUUACAUUCCUUUGGCUUGGAGACUCUGUGGCUCUUGCUGUGUAUUUCUUAGUUCUGGUUUUUGGCAAAUCACUGAUAUUUUGCUUCUUAAUGCUUGCUUUUAGUAUCUGUUUUUUAAACUAAUGGAAGUAGCACUUCAAGUCAUUCAUUUACACAACCAGGUUUCUCCUACAGUAGGUUGUAAUUUAUCACGUGCUUGUGGCACUGAUAGAGCUCCCUUUUUAAAUGAACAGUGCACUCAUUUGUGGCAGGGAAGCUGAGACACAAAAAACUGAUUACUGCUCUAGCUGUGUGAAUUGGCUAUAUGGAGUUGCUAUAGGCCUCAUUAAGGCAAUGAAAGUGUGGGCGUUUCCUAAGCGCAGAUGUACCAUAUCUCAUCUGAGUUUAAUCAAAAUGUAAUGCUAUUGUGUAGCUGUAUGUUAUAGAGUUCUUGAGCACUGUUCUUCAGUGAAAUUCUUGCAGUAUGUUGCGGCUAAAACUUGUGCCUGAAGCUCUGUUUGCUCAGUACACUUUCUUCCACGUUGUACAAAGGGAGAAAAAGCUUUAUAUUUCAAUCUCUGAGCAGAAGCAAGCUCUUGAUUUGGCUUGCAAACAAAAUGUUCUUUUGCAUUGUUGUGAGUUUGCUGUUUUGCUGUGUUCCAAUUCAGGCAACACCUAAGAUUUCAUGGUUGUUGACUUGUUGAUUUUUUUGAAAUCAAAGGAUAUUUAAACUUUAACAUGAUUCACAUUUCCAUUGUAGCAUGCAUACAGAAGAAUUGGCUGACAUGUAAUUGCAUGUACUCACUUGCCUUUUGAAAUUAAUCUGUCAUAGAAACUCCCUCAUAAUUGUACAGUGGUACCUCGGGCUAAGUACUUAAUUGGUUGCGGGGUGCCAUUCACACCCCGAAAAAUACUUAAUCUGAGCGGUGAUAACGUGCGUGCGCGAAGUGCCGAUAGAGCGCUCAUGCGCAAAUCACGCAGAUCAGUUUUGCGCAUGCGCACAUGGCGGAACCCGGAAGUAAACACUUCUGGGUCCGCGGAGUACUUAAACUGAAACUACUCAAACUGAAGGGUACCUAACCCGAGGUAUGACUGUAUAACAGUUUGGUUAUCAUGGAAAUUAAGGAGUACUUAUGUAAUAAGAAAUUUUAUGGUAAAUCUGGAAGUAAAAGGUAAAGUUAGUUAAGUCCACUCAUCUCACUUUACUGGCCAAGGGAGCCAACGUUUGUCCGCAGACAGUUUUUACGGGUCAUGUGGCCAGCAUGACUAAGCCGCUUCUGGCAAACCCAGAGCAGCGCACAGAAACGCUGUUUACCUUCCCGCCAGAGCGGUACUUAGUUAUCUACUUGCACUCUGACGUGCUUUUGAACUGCUAGGUUGGCAGGAGCAGGGACCGAGCAACAGAAGCUCAUCCCAUCGUGGGGAUUUAAACCGUCGACCUUCUGAUCGGCUCUGUGAUUUAGACCACAGCGCCACCCACGUCCCAUAAAUCUGGAAGUAGAUCACUUAAUUAAGUGAUUAAUUAUAUGUGUCUAGUGUAAAAAAA